GGGGGGCGCAGGGUAGGGUUUUCUAGCGCGGCCCCUUACCUCGCACAUCCUCUCGCUCCUUUCGCUGCCAACGAGACGGCCACCCAGUGCGGGUUUGCUGCUGAUGCAGUCCAUCUGACAAAAGGGGGGAAAGGGGGGCUGGGGGAUGUUGUUAUGUUAUACAGGAGGCCUGUACCAGGUAGAAUAAUGCUGUGUAACGCAAGACAAUAUUGCAGGGCCUGAGUGCUUGCUUUGUUUUGAGGGUUUGUAGCCUGGAUUUGUCGAUACGGCGGUUGGGGGAUUGCACGAGAUACUUGUAUGGGUGCGGUGCGGAGCUCGCAUGUGCACACGGAGCAAAACACACCUUUUUACGCUAUAGAUUUCUUCUCGCUGCGCACAUGUGUGUUGACUCAGUAUGUAUCAAAUUAAUGCUUGUCAUGGCGACGUCGUGCUGCGUUGGGAUUUGCAGCCCAUGAUUGGACUGACGAGGUGGGAGCGCGGGAUGCGAAGCAGAGCAGGGGCAAGCUUGUUUGUUUCCAUUAUUCAUGAUUUUAUAUCUAUGUGUGAGAUGAUGUCUCUGGUCGCGUCGCAGUUUGUUCGCUGGUGGUUAGAAUCGUUGUACGAGCCGUUGCAUGAGCCGUUGUCAGUGCCGCUCUGAGUGUUGUUGUCAUUGCCGACGGCUUUUUGGACAUUAAAGAUGCUGUAAUCAAGUAUAUAUUGAGCAUUUCGCACCUCAUUUGCAGUGCUGCUUGAUGAAACACAGUUUGCCAGGCGGAUGUUGUUCGAUGGUGUGUCCGGACAUUAGCCGCCCGUGGCUGUGCGGUCUCUUGUAAAGGAGAGGCAGCACCAUACCCCAGGUCAUGUCCUCAAAACAUUGACACGUCUACAUUCGCAUCGCUCGCUUUAGUCUGUGGAGGUGCUUGUGUGGUGUGGACAUGUCACCGAACGUCCAUUGUCGUGCUCCAUUUGAGCAUGAAAGCUUUGUUUUGCGCCUCCGUCAAACCUAUAGUUCUGCAUCGUUCCACACGUGCGAAAGUUAACAUACGGGAAGCAGAGCGCCACAGAGCAUGGUUUUUAAGAACAUCUCGCUUGCACGCCACGGGCCGCCAACGAAUAUACAAUCCUAAUGCAUACACAUGCGCACCCGCGGUCUUUGUGUGCGCACAAGAACAUCUCGCUUGCACGCCAUGAGCCGCCAACGAAUAUACAAUCCUAACGCAUACACAUGCGCACCCGCGGUCGCUGCGUGCGCACAAGAACAUCUCGCUUGCACGCCACGGGCCGCCAACGAAUAUACAAUCCUAAUGCAUACACAUGCGCACCCGCGGUCGCUGCGUGCGCACAAGAACAUCUCGCUUGCACGCCACGGGCCGCCAACGAAUAUACAAUUCUUAACACAUGGAGAAGGCUCUGGUGUGACGUUUACAAGCUUGAUGGCUGUUUUAGCAUGCCGCGCGUUUGUGUGCCUCUGCACGUUGUGUUUGUGGAUUUCCUGUAGUUGUCCAGUCCAACAAACAGGGGAGCCACCGGCUAAAUGCUUUAAACACGACAGGGACCCUGGGGGAUUCGUGUGGGCGCGAAUGAUGCAUAUGCUAAUAACACUGGGGCCUCCGGGCCCAUAGAGCCGUGUGGCUGUUUUUUCCUUCGGGGUGUGAACUAAGGGAGACAUGGCGCUCCAUCUCCAUCCUUCCAUCAUUUCACCCUCCCUCCCUCCAACCNNNNNNNNNNNNNNNNNNNNNNNNNNNNNNNNNNNNNNNNNNNNNNNNNNUGCGUUGCCCAGCGCAACGCCGCCCUCCCCUGUGCCGCCCAGUGCAGCGCCGCCCUUCCCUCAUCCACCCCCGGCAGCGCCGGCCCCCCCCUGCGUUGCCCAGCGCAACGCCGCCCUCCCCUGCGCCGCCCAGCGCAGCGCCGCCCUUCCCUCAUCCGCCCCCCGCAGCAUCCGCGUAGGGCAGGUCAGCGUACGGCUAGGGGGCCGCAGGGGAGGGCGGCGUUGGGCUUGGGGGGGCGCAGGGUAGGGUUUUCUAGCGCGGCCCCUUACCUCGCACAUCCUCUCGCUCCUUUCGCUGCCAACGAGACGGCCACCCAGUGCGGGUUUGCUGCUGAUGCAGUCCAUCUGCCAAAAGGGGGGAAAGGGGGGCUGGGGGAUGUUGUUAUGUUAUACAGGAGGCCUGUACCAGGUAGAAUAAUGCUGUGUAACGCAAGCAAAAUAUUGCAGGGCCUGAGUGCUUGCUUUGUUUUGAGGGUUUGUAGCCUGGAUUUGUCGAUACGGCGGUUGGGGGAUUGCACGAGAUACUUGUAUGGGUGCGGUGCGGAGCUCGCAUGUGCACACGGAGCAAUACACACCUUUUUACGCUAUAGAUUUCUUCUCGCCGCGCACAUGUGUGUUGACUCAGUAUGUAUCAAAUUAACGCUUGUCAUGGCGACGUCGUGCUGCGUUGGGAUUUGCAGCCCAUGAUUGGACUGACGAGGUGGGAGCGCGGGAUGCGAAGCAGAGCAGGGGCAAGCUUGUUUGUUUCCAUUAUUCAUGAUUUUAUAUCUAUGUGUGAGAUGAUGUCUCUGGUCGCGUCGCAGUUUGUUCGCUGGUGGUUAGAAUCGUUGUACGAGCCGUUGCAUGAGCCGUUGUCAGUGCCGCUCUGAGUGUUGUUGUCAUUGCCGACGGCUUUUUGGACAUUAAAGAUGCUGUAAUCAAGUAUAUAUUGAGCAUUUCGCACCUCAUAUGCAGUGCUGCUUGAUGAAACACAGUUUGCCAGGCGGAUGUUGUUCGAUGGUGUGUCCGGACAUUAGCCGCCCGUGGCUGUGCGGUCUCUUGUAAAGGAGAGGCAGCACCAUACCCCAGGUCAUGUCCUCAAAACAUUGACACGUCUACAUUCGCAUCGCUCGCUUUAGUCUGUGGAGGUGCUUGUGUGGUGUGGACAUGUCACCGAACGUCCAUUGUCGUGCUCCAUUUGAGCACGAAAGCUUUGUUUUGCGCCUCCGUCAAACCUAUAGUUCUGCAUCGUUCCACACGUGCGAAAGUUAACAUACGGGAAGCAGAGCGCCACAGAGCAUGGUUUUUAAGAAAAUCUCGCUUCCACGCCACGGGCCGCCAACGAAUAUACAAUCCUAACGCAUACACAUGCGCACCCGCGGUCGCUGCGUGCGCACAAGAACAUCUCGCUUCCACGCCACCGGCCGCCAACGAAUAUACAAUCCUAACGCAUACACAUGCGCACCCGCGGUCGCUGCGUGCGCACAAGAACAUCUCGCUUGCACGCCACGGGCCGCCAACGAAUAUACAAUUCUUAACACAUGGAGAAGGCUCUGGUGUGACGAUUACAAGCUUGAUGGCUGUUUUAGCAUGCCGCGCGUUUGUGUGCCUCUGCACGUUGUGUUUGUGGAUUUCCUGUAGUUGUCCAGUCCAACAAACAGGGGAGCCACCGGCUAAAUGCUUUAAACACGACAGGGACCCUGGGGGAUUCGUGUGGGCGCGAAUGAUGCAUAUGCUAAUAACACUGGGGCCUCCGGGCCCAUAGAGCCGUGUGGCUGUUUUUUCCUUCGGGGUGUGAACUAAGGGAGACAUGGCGCUCCAUCUCCAUCCUUCCAUCAUUUCACCCUCCCUCCCUCCAACCCUCCCUCCACCCUCCCUCAAUAAUCCCUCCACAAUACCAUUUCCCACUCUUCCCCCACCCUUCCUCCAUCAUCCCCCCCACUUCCCUCCACGCUCCCUCCCAUCAUCCUCCCUUCCCCUCCCCUCUGCCCUCCCUUCUGCCAUCCUGUGCCUUCCCCUCUGCUGUCCCCUCUGCUCUCCCUUGCCGUUCCCUCCGUCCUUUGUGUUUGUAUGUGUGUGCCCUCUGCCCGCAUGCUCAUGUCUUCACGGACACAUGUGUGAAUGUAUCAUGGGCCAUUACAUCUAGGGACAGCUGGG
rnacentral:lncRNA from 1 species